rnacentral:rRNA from 1 species
AGCGAACGCUGGCGGCAGGCUUAACACAUGCAAGUCGAGCGGGCAUAGCAAUAUGUCAGCGGCAGACGGGUGAGUAACGCGUGGGAACGUACCUUUUGGUUCGGGACAACUGAGGGAAACUUCAGCUAAUACCGGAUAAGCCCUUACGGGGAAAGAUUUAUCGCCGAAAGAUCGGCCCGCGUCUGAUUAGCUAGUUGGUGAGGUAAUGGCUCACCAAGGCGACGAUCAGUAGCUGGUCUGAGAGGAUGAUCAGCCACAUCGGGACUGAGACACGGCCCAAACUCCUACGGGAGGCAGCAGUGGGGAAUAUUGGACAAUGGGCGCAAGCCUGAUCCAGCCAUGCCGCGUGAGUGAUGAAGGCCCUAGGGUUGUAAAGCUCUUUUGUGCGGGAAGAUAAUGACGGUACCGCAGGAAUAAGCCCCGGCUAACUUCGUGCCAGCCGCCGCCGUAA